rnacentral:rRNA from 1 species
CCUUACGGGCGGUGUGUACAACAUAGGAAAUCUGCCUUUAGGUGGGGGACAACAGAGGGAAACUUCUGCUAAUACCCCAUAUGAGCGUAGCUGAAAUGCUAUUCUUGAAAGUUCCGGCGCCUAAAGAUGAGCCUGUGCCUGAUUAGCUAGUUGGUGGUGUAAUGGACUACCAAGGCGACGAUCAGUAGCUGGUUUGAGAGGAUGAUCAGCCACAAUGGGACUGAGACACGGCCCAUACUCCUACGGGAGGCAGCAGUAGGGAAUUUUGCGCAAUGGGCGAAAGCCUGACGCAGCAACACCGCGUGAAUGUUAAGCCCUUCGGGGUGUAAAGUUCUGUCAGUAGGGAAGAACAAAUGACUGUACCUACAAAGGAAGCACCGGCUAACUCCGUGCCAGCAGCCGCGGUAAUACGGGGGGUGCAAGCGUUGUCCGGAAUCAUUGGGCGUAAAGCGUUCGUAGGCGGCAAGAUAAGUCAG